CUCUUUUCAAAAAGCCUGUCUUUCAUUCUUCGUUCAGUUCUAUUUCCCUUGCCUUGUGCAUUUGAAGAACAUUUACACAUGUAACAUGUCUUCAGUGAAGAUUAUGCUUGUGGUUUCUCUGUUCAUCCCUGCUGUGAGGUCCGGUAAAGAUUUGUUUAAAUUGGAAUGCCUGCCUGCAGUUGGAAUUCUUGCUCAGACCACAAUAAUCAGAUGCUAUUUCAAAGACAUGCUAGAUAUUGAAAUAGUUGCAGUUUAUUUGACAAAAGUUGGACAGGACGAGCCAUUAUUUGCUCAAGAAGAAUCAAAAAGAUCAGGAGAUCAACGCUUUAGUCUCGAAAACUCAGCAAUGGGUCCAUCUCUGCAAAUCUCUGACACAAUGUUUACUGAUGAGGGUGAAUAUCUGUACCAUGUUGUAACCGACAGUGGAUAUAAA